rnacentral:snRNA from 1 species
GGAUAUAAGGUCAUCUGUCUGUGGGAUCUUUCAUGCUAUUGAUUGACAAGACUGGUUCAGCUGCUCUGGAUGGCAAGGCAGGUAUCCCCUUCCUGCCUCACCGACCCCAAACUUCAUGCUCUUAAAGGACAGCAGCUUUUCCAAAGAGAGAACUUAUAAUUGGUUAAUGGUAUGAGUCCUAUUUCCUCAGCUACAGAUACCAGUCUAUCAAAAACAAAUGUUACUGGAUUGGAACUGAUAUGAAAAGCUACAUGAACCAGUUCCAGAUUGCUACAGAAUCU